UACGUAGGAGGCGAGCGUUGUCCGGAAUCAUUGGGCGUAAAGGGCGCGUAGGUGGCCCCUCAAGCGUGCGGUGAAAGUCAGGGGCUCAACCCCUGAUCGGCCGUGCGAACUGGGGAGCUUGAGCACUGUAGAGGCAGGCGGAAUUCCGGGUGUAGCGGUGGAAUGCGUAGAGAUCCGGAAGAACACCGGUGGCGAAGGCGGCCUGCUGGGCAGUUUUGCUGACACUGAGGCGCGACAGCGUGGGGAGCAAACAGG
rnacentral:rRNA from 1 species